UACGAAGGGGGCUAGCGUUGCUCGGAAUUACUGGGCGUAAAGCGCACGUAGGCGGCUUUCUAAGUCGGGGGUGAAAUCCUGGAGCUCAACUCCAGAACUGCCUUCGAUACUGGAGAGCUUGAGUCCGGGAGAGGUGAGUGGAACUGCGAGUGUAGAGGUGAAAUUCGUAGAUAUUCGCAAGAACACCAGUGGCGAAGGCGGCUCACUGGCCCGGUACUGACGCUGAGGUGCGAAAGCGUGGGGGAGCAAACAGGG
rnacentral:rRNA from 1 species